rnacentral:rRNA from 1 species
GUAAUAGCUCACUGGUCGAGUCGGCCUGCGCGGAAGAUGUAACGGGGCUAAACCAUGCACCGAAGCUGCGGCAGCGACACUCAUGUGUUGUUGGGUAGGGGAGCGUUCUGUAAGCCUGUGAAGGUGUGUCGUGAGGCAUGCUGGAGGUAUCAGAAGUGCGAAUGCUGACAUAAGUAACGAUAAAGCGGGUGAAAAGCCCGCUCGCCGGAAGACCAAGGGUUCCUGUCCAACGUUAAUCGGGGCAGGGUGAGUCGACCCCUAAGGCGAGGCCGAAAGGCGUAGUCGAUGGGAAACGGGUUAAUAUUCCCGUACUUGGUGUUACUGCGAAGGGGGGACGGAGAAGGCUAUGUUGGCCGGGCGACGGUUGUCCCGGUUUAAGCGUGUAGGUGUGUGUUCCAGGUAAAUCCGGUUCACUUUAACACUGAGGCGUGA